rnacentral:sRNA from 1 species
UGUGGCUCAUGUGUACAUGUGUGCAAGCAUAUGUGUGUGUGCGUGCAUACACACAAGUGUGUGCUUGUAUGUGUGAGAAUGGUGGUAGGAGCUAGAGCAAGCAUAUCGGAGCAUGAGAAGGAAACCCAUCGCUAUGACAGAUUUAAAUAUCAAGGAAUACAAGUAGUUUCAGACCCCUACCUUGACCUUUAAGAAAUAAACAAGUAUCUACUGAGGAGGAGUUAAGUCUUCUUAGCAUGAGUCAAAGGACAUCUUGUUUCAUGUCAGGAUUUGAACAAGCGGGGAGAAGGGGGCCACCCAGUGUUGAAGCAGUUGCCCAGCACUGUGAGGACCUGGUUCAAUCCCCAGUGCUUUGAUACCCAUACGAAAAUAAAUAGAUACAAGGCUGUGGCUCAUGGUUAAAUGCUUGCUUAGCACGCACAAAGCCCUGCGUUCAAUCUCUAAGACCACAAAAUAAAUGAAUUAAAACCGUGGAGGUCGCGCAUAAAUAUCCUGAUGUUUAAAUGGAUCUUGAAAAGCCAGAAGCUCUUGGGGCACUGGGGCCAUAUUUCCUCACCUUCGAAUGUCCCUAUCAUGGGGCUUGCAGAUGUUUGUGCUACAGAUCCUUGUAGAAGCAUUUAGCCUUGAUACAAGGAACUCUCCUAACAGGACAGCCACAGAGCACUCCUGCCCCUGUGUACACUGGAGACGGACAAAGCCUGGAGUAAGCUCAUCUGGAAGACAGCGCACUUUACUACGGAAUCCAUUACCCUGAGAGCCCUGCCUGUGGGAUGGUACUAGGCACCAACCACAUUCACAAUGGAUCUAUCCAGUUCAGUGAAACUCUUCUGGCACACCCAGAGGUGAGCUUCCGUGGUGACUCUAAAUCCCGUCCAGUUGACAAGGAAGAUCUCACUGUCACAGCUGAUCAGCCUCCCGGGAGCACAGCUUUGCCCUCAACACUCCACUGUACAGAUAGAAGUCCCCACUGCACACAGAACGUGUUUAAAGUUGCGGUGCUCUGUGGGUGAGGUGAGGCUGGCAGAUCCCCCAGUCAGAACUCACGGCCAGGGCCGUCUACGGCUUGGACCGGGCUCCCAGGGUUUGAAAUCAAAUGCCAACUCAUCUCCUGAA